GUAUACUGUGUUGUUCUUUCCUCUGACCAAUCCUUAAAGGUGGUAUACUGUGUUGUUCGUUCUCCAUUCCUCUGACCAAUCCUUAAAGGUGGUAUACUGUGUUGUUCGUUCUCCAUUCCUCUGACCAAUCCUUAAAGGUGGUAUACUGUGUUGUUCGUUCUCCAUUCCUCUGACCAAUCC